CGGGACGGGUGAGUAAUGUCUGGGAAACUGCCUGAUGGAGGGGGAUAACUACUGGAAACGGUAGCUAACACCGCAUAACGUCGCAAGACCAAAGAGGGGGACCUUCGGGCCUCUUGCCAUCGGAUGUGCCCAGAUGGGAUUAGCUAGUAGGUGGGGUAACGGCUCACCUAGGCGACGAUCCCUAGCUGGUCUGAGAGGAUGACCAGCCACACUGGAACUGAGACACGGUCCAG
rnacentral:rRNA from 1 species